rnacentral:misc_RNA from 1 species
GAUGAAGAACGUAGCGAAAUGCGAUAAGUAAUGUGAAUUGCAGAAUUCAGUGAAUCAUCGAAUCUUUGAACGCACAUUGCGCCCGCCAGUAUUCUGGCGGGCAAGCCUGUUCGAGCGUCAUUUCAACCAUCAAGCCCCAGGCUUGUGUUGGGGACCUGCGGCUGCCGCAGGCCCUGAAAACCAGUGGCGGGCUCGCUGUCACACCGGGCGUAGUAGAUUUUAUCUCGCUCAGGGCGUGCUGCGGGUCCCGGCCGUUAAAAGCCUUUUUUACCCAAGGUUGACCUCGGAUCAGGUAGGAAGACCCGCUGAACUUAAGCAUAUCAAUAAGCGGAGGA